rnacentral:rRNA from 1 species
UACGGAGGGUGCAAGCGUUAUCCGGAUUCACUGGGUUUAAAGGGUGCGUAGGCGGGCAGGUAAGUCAGUGGUGAAAUCUCCGGGCUUAACCCGGAAACUGCCAUUGAUACUAUUUGUCUUGAAUACCGUGGAGGUCAGCGGAAUAUGUCAUGUAGCGGUGAAAUGCUUAGAUAUGACAUAGAACACCAAUUGCGAAGGCAGCUGGCUACACGAAUAUUGACACUGAUGCACGAAAGCGUGGGGAUCAAACAGG